rnacentral:rRNA from 1 species
UACGUAGGGGGCAAGCGUUGUCCGGAAUCAUUGGGCGUAAAGAGCGCGUAGGCGGUCCGGUAAGUCCGCUGUCAAAGCCCGGGGCUCAACCCCGGAAGGUCGGUGGAGACUGGUUUUCUUGAAGCUGCCAGGGGGAGAUGGAAUUACCGGUGUAGCGGUGAAAUGCGUAGAUAUCGGUAGGAACACCAGUGGCGAAGGCGGUCUCCUGGAGCAGACUUGACGCUGAGGCGCGAAAGCUGGGGGAGCGAACGGG